rnacentral:tRNA from 1 species
UAAAGGUAAGUGAUUUACAACACGUAUAAAUUUGAGUUAUAAAAAGGAAAUAAUUAUUCCACCUUUAU